rnacentral:RNase_P_RNA from 1 species
AGAGUUGGCCGGGCAAUCGCGGCAGGCCAUUUAGGUGGCCAGUCGAGGAAAGUCCGGGCUCCACAGGGCAGGGUGCCAGGUAACGCCUGGGGGGCGCGAGCCCACGGCUAGUGCAGCAGAGAGUAAACCGCCUAAGUUUGUCGCGCUACGGUGCGCAAACCGGUAAGGGUGAAAGGGUGCGGUAAGAGCGCACCGCGCUACUGGUAACAGUUAGCGGCAAGGUAAACCCCACCCGGAGCAAGGCCAAAUAGGAAUCCAAUGGCGCGGCCCGCGCUGGAUUCGGGUAGGCCGCUUGAGGGCUGUGGUGACACAGGCCCCAGAUGAAUGAUUGCUCUCGACAGAACCCGGCUUACAGGCCAACUCUUUUU